AAAAAGGUAAGCUAAUAAAGCUAUUGGGUUCAUACCCCACUUAUGUAGGUUCCAGCCCUCCCCUUUUUA
rnacentral:tRNA from 1 species